rnacentral:rRNA from 1 species
CACGUAGGCACCAAGCGUUGUCCGGAUUUAUUGGGCGUAAAGAGCUCGUAGGCGGUUCAGUAAGUCGGGUGUGAAAACUCUGGGCUCAACCCGGAGACGCCACCCGAUACUGCUGUGACUUGAGUUCGGUAGGGGAGUGGGGAAUUUCUAGUGUAGCGGUGAAAUGCGCAGAUAUUAGAAGGAACACCGGUGGCGAAGGCAGCUCGCUGGGACGUGACUGACGCUGAGACGCGAAAGCGUGGGGAGCAAACAGG